rnacentral:lncRNA from 1 species
UUGUAGAUCAUAGAUAGGAAAUGCAUUGGUACCUGGAAGAGUCUAAGAAAAAUAAAGAAAUUAUGUGAGAUGGGAGUAUAAGAUGUUGAAGGAACCUGAAUACACACAACUCCAGUCGGGUUAGGGUGAAGCGGAUUGAAAAGGAAAUUCCUGGACACUCUUCGGCCACGAGGAUGAUGAAGUUUCUAGAAAAUUGUCUUCCAUAUUCAAGUCAGAUGCUAAACAUUAUUAGCUUCACAGUUAGUUUACAAUGUUAGAGCUUUAUGCUUGCUCUGUUUUGCAACUAUGUCUGGAGCAAAAUCUUUGUUUAUCAUAUUUCUUUCACUGUAGUUAUUUUUUUGUCUGUUCGCGAC